CCUACGGGCGGCAGCAGUGAGGAAUAUUGGUCAAUGGACGAGAGUCUGAACCAGCCAAGUAGCGUGAAGGAUGACUGCCCUAUGGGUUGUAAACUUCUUUUAUAUGGGAAUAAAAUGUUCCACGUGUGGGGUUUUGUAUGUACCAUAUGAAUAAGGAUCGGCUAACUCCGUGCCAGCAGCCGCGGUAAUACGGAGGAUCCGAGCGUUAUCCGGAUUUAUUGGGUUUAAAGGGAGCGUAGGUGGAUUGUUAAGUCAGUUGUGAAAUGUUGCGGCGCAACCGGAACAUUGCAGGUGAAACUGGCAGUCGUGAGUACAGGAGAGGUAGGCGGAAUUCGUGGUGUAGCGGUGAAAUGCUUAGAUAUCACGAAGAACUCCGAUUGCGAAGGCAGCUCACUGGACUGCAACUGACACUGAGGCUCGAAAGUGUGGGUAUCAAACAGGAUUAGAUACCCGGGUAGUC
rnacentral:rRNA from 1 species